AUUCGAUCGAGUGCACGCGAAUCGCUCACGUGGCUCCGUCCGCGUGGUCUCCCGCGUCAGCUUCCUUACCACGUGACGUGUUCUAGUUGGCCGGGGCCAGUGACUUGGCUGCUAACGUGGCACAACUUUUUUAAAUUACGUUUUGACCUCCGGUUUUCGAUUUUUUUUAAAAAAAAUACCCCCAGAAUCUAAAUUUUCACCCU
rnacentral:lncRNA from 1 species